CCUGAAACUAUCUACCUGCCCCAGCCCUGAAUCACCGCAUUAGUAGGAACUCAGGUGUAAUGAAAAGGGGCUCAUUGUAAGUGAAAAAAGACACUCCUCUAUCACUCAGGAAAUUCCAAGGGUUUCGGAGCUCCAUGUCAAGAACUAGGGACAAAAAUAUAUCAAGUAUAUUUUUUAUUACACCACAGAGUGACAGCAAGGUAGCCUGUAAUCUUGACACUAAGGUUUCCCGUUGAGAAUGAAGUUAGGGAAAUCAAACAUGCAGUGCAUUGGAUCAUGGAGCAUUUGGAUCUGGGGAUGUUUGAUGGGUAGUUUCCAAGCACUUGAGCUCAAAAAAUGUUAAACUAGGUUUGGUGCCUGGAAUAUAUGUCAACAAUUGCUGGCCUAAAACUGUAACCUUUUCAAUUUAUGUAACCAGAUUGAGAAAAACCAAAAGACCCUUGUUUAAAAAGAAUGAAUAUAGUUACCCUAUGAGAUAAAAAAGCAUGUGUAUGUUCGGUAGAGUUUGCUGAACACAGGUAGGGGAGACAAAAAACAAAAAACAAAAAACAAAAAAAACAACAAAAAAAAACACCUGGAUCUGAAAUGAGCAUUUAAAUUAUCCUUAGAGGUGUUUUCCACUGUGGAGCAGGGAUGACUCACCAGACCUCUGUGUGGUUGGAUGAGAUAUUUCUCAUGAGUCUCCAUUUCCCUGUGGUCUGAUUCUAUGCUUCCCAAGCAAGGCACUGAUUGUGAGUCCUUUUUUUUUUUUUUUUUUUUUUUUUUUGUUUGUUUGUUUGUUUUUUUAGGUUUCUUGAUUCUAAGAAGUUGGUACCACAGAUAGAUGUGGAUCAAUUUGUCCCUGGGAAGGGAUAGGUCAAAUUGAUUUCUGGAGAAUGAAACUGCCAGGACGAUCACUAGAAUGCAUUUCAGCCCACAGGAUGCUACACGCUGCACCACCCUCUGACUGGGAUUAUUCAGAUUCCAUAGAAAAGGAAAGUACUGAAGAGUUCCGGAAAACACAUUGCUGCCAAAGUUGACUGGGGCAGCGGGAACACCUACCCGCCAAUGUCAUGUGUAAGGCAAAAUAAAGGCAGCGACUGUUUAUCGUCUUUGUUUGUU
rnacentral:lncRNA from 12 species